AAGUGGGCACCGGAUAGCGCCAGCCCCGCCCAGAGAGCGAAAUCAUGGAGCCUUCCAAGACCUUCAUGAGAAACCUGCCAAUCACACCAGGCUACAGCGGCUUCGUGCCGUUCCUUAGCUGCCAAGGAACAUCCAGGGAGGAUGACAUGAACCACUGUGUGAAAACCUUCCAGGAGAAAACACAGCGCUAUAAAGACCAGCUGCGGGAAUUUUGCUACGCAGUGGCCACUGCCCCGAAACUGAAGCCUGUCAACUCCGAGGAGACGGUCCUGCGGGCCCUGCAUCAGUACAGUCGGCAGUACCACCCCCUGAUCCUGGGUAGCAGCGCCCUGAAACCAUUUCCCCUCAUCCCUGGUCACCCGUGCAGAUUCUCAUAGGCCAGCUGAGCUGCCCUAGAGCACCCAGAAUCCCGCACAGUUCCAAAUUCCAGGGGUCAGCGCCAAAUGCAAAGGCUCCAUUUCUUAAAAUGAGAAAGAUACAUUUCUUUUUCCUUUUUUUCUUUUUCUUUUUUUUUUGGAGACAGAGUCUCAUGCUGUUGCCCAGGCUAGAGUGCAGUGGUGCAAUCUUGGCUCACUGCAACCUCUGCCUCCUGGGUUCAAGCGAUUCUCCUGCCUCAGCGUCAGCCAAGUAGCUGGGACUACAGGUGCAUGCCACCAUGCCCGGCUGAUUUUUGUAUUUUUAGUAGAGAUGGGGUUUCACCAUGUUGCCAAGGGUGGUCUCGAAUUCCUGACCUCAGGUGAUCUGCCCGCCUCGGCCUCCCAAAGUGCUGGGAUUACAGGCAUGAGCCACAGAGGCUGGCCAGAAAGAAACAUUUCUAGGGGAGGAAACACAGUCCUGGUUAGGGAAGAGGGUGCUGGUCUGAGAACUAGGAGACCCUAGGCAAGUCACAAGUUUUCAGGCCUCAGCUUCUGGAUCAGUGGAAAACAUUUUUUAGUUGCUUUCUCUGUGCCACGGUGUCUUUUUACAGAAUGCAAAUAUGUAAAGAAACCUCUCCAGGAGCCCCCAAUCCCUGGCUGGGCAGGCUACCUGCCGAGAGCCAAGGUCACUGAAUUUGGCUGUGGCACAAGAUACACUGUCAUGGCCAAAAACUGCUACAAGGACUUCCUGGAGAUCACGGAGAGGGCCAAGAAAGCACAUCUGAAACCAUAUGAAGAAAUAUACGGAGUUAGCUCCACAAAAACUUCUGCUCUGUCUCCAAAAGUUUUGCAGCAUGAAGAGCUGCUGCCAAAAUAUCCUGAUUUUUCUAUUCCAGAUGGAAGCUGCCCUGCCCUUGGAAGGCCCCUGAGAGAGGACCCCAAAACUCCGCUGACAUGUGGCUGUGCUCAGAGGCCAAGUAUACCAUGCAGUGGGAAGAUUUAUCUAGAGCCACUGUCCUCCGCAAAGUAUGCAGAAGGCUAGAAGCGCAGAGUCUCCCAAGGAGGUGAACUUUAAGUGGGGCUUCCAAAACCUGCCGUUCUCAUGUUGGAAUUACGCCCAGUGAGCAAUAAAGAAACUUAAUAACAAGAAUUUUUUAACUGC
rnacentral:sRNA from 1 species